rnacentral:rRNA from 1 species
CAGUAGCCACGGUAAUACGGAGGGAGCUAGCGUUGUUCGGAAUUACUGGGCGUAAAGCGCACGUAGGCGGCUUUGUAAGUUAGAGGUGAAAGCCUGGGGCUCAACUCCAGAAUUGCCUUUAAGACUGCAUCGCUUGAAUCAUGGAGAGGUGAGUGGAAUUCCGAGUGUAGAGGUGAAAUUCGUAGAUAUUCGGAAGAACACCAGUGGCGAAGGCGGCUCACUGGACUGGUAUUGACGCUGAGUUGCGAAAGCGUGGGGAGCAAACAGGAUUAGAUACCCGCGUAGUCCCUGUCUCUUAUAC